rnacentral:lncRNA from 10 species
AAAAUAGCACUGUCUUAGUCUGGGUUUCCUCAGAAGUGGACCCUGAGGCGACAUCUCAAAGGAGUUUCUUAGAGAGCAUUGACAAGAAAACCCCACUGUUGGGGAGUGAGGAGGGAUGAAAGCCCAACCAGCUGCAAUAUCAACAAAGACCCAGGCAGGGUUAUGCCCACUCAAUCCCACGGGGAGCUCUGGACAGUGAGGCUUAUGCCCACAGGUGUCUGAUCAGGGGGCAGGAAAGCUGCAGGGUUUAUGCCCUCAUAACUGUCAGUCCUUGGCCAUGAGUGUGCACCUCGAGGCAGCCCUCGCAGCAGGGGCUAUGGAGAGUCUUUGUGGGCCUGGGACCGAGAGGAUAAGGCAGAGGACUCGUAGAUCUGUUACAGGUGACAUUUUAAGCCUGCAUUAGGGAAUGAAAAGAAGUGAAAUCCUUGCCGCCUUCAACAUCGUCCCCCAGGGUUGUCAUCACAGGCUCAGAAGCCACACUGUCAUUUGGCUCUACUCGCCCAGGCCACUAGAGAAGGAUGCGGAAGGAACAUUGGGAAAUGCAGCCAGAGAGGAGCUGCAGAGAUGUCCAGCAAGGGAAGGAAUGAGCAGCUCGCCAAGCCAGGGUCCAAAUGGAGUGAGGCAGCAGAGACGAGGGGCCUGGGCAGGAGCUAUCCUGCAAGAGCCUGGAGUCUGCAGGAGGCAGUGGCUGCUCCAGCUGGCUUGACAUUUGGGGCUAAGGAUUUGCCGAGGACCGUUUCACAGAUACAUUUUGUAGAGGCUGCACUGAGCCUCCUGGACUGAAAUGCAGUACAAUACUCUGUGUUGCUUUGAUUUCACCUCUGGUGCAGGCUGCGUGGGCAUGAUUGUAAGGAGCCUGUGUUUUCCCUUGAAGACAAAAGGAAAGAUGAGCCACUGCCUUAUCCACACAUAUCCUCAUUUAAAACCUGCUGCUACCUUUUGAAAAUGUAUUGAGAUGUAUGUUAAUGAUUUUCACAAUCAUCUGUAUUUGUUACUCUUCAGUAAAAUAUUGACAAAUAAACAUAGCAUCACAUUUUACAAAUCA